rnacentral:lncRNA from 1 species
CUUACUCCCUUCAGUGGCUUGGAAAGGAUGCCCCAAGAUAAAGACCCACAGGCACCCUGGCUCUGACAUAUGGCGGGGUAGAAACACAGAUACCUCCUGGCCAUGAUCCGACAACCCCAUUCCCCGCAGCCCAGGCGCCCAACAAAUCAGGACCCAACACCUCCAGCAGGUCUCCCGCUCCCGGGAGGUUGUAACCCUUUCAUCUUUGACUCCAGACACAGAAAGGCAGAUGCCCCAGACCCGCGCCCGGUGGCUGGGCCUGCGUGCAGUGGGGAAGGGGGCGACCCGGGACCCCUGUGCGUGCCCCGCUCCCAACUUCUUCACAGGACAUACUUGUUUAGACCUUAAGACCCAGCUGGGGUGGAGGCGUCUUAGGGAGGGAGACCGGGCGAUAACUGAAGAAAGUUUUGGGGGGAGAGUGCUAAGUCACUCUGAAAAAAAGGCCACUGUCGCUCCCACCUCCUGGAGGGGGCAGCUGCCGGACCGGGGAUCUCCAAGCGGCACCUGAGUCCCCGGGGGCGGGGACGCGCGCCCAGCCCCUGCCGCGCCCCUGCCGCCCCCCGCCCGCGCCCGACCCGCCUCCGGGUCGCACUCACCAGGGCGCGGUUGAACCUCUCCUCCAGCUCUCCGGCCGCGGGCAUCGGCUGCUUGGGAGGCGCGGGCUGCUUGGGGGGCGGCGCGGCGGGGCCCGCGGGCUGCUCGGCGCUGCCGGCCGCGUUGCCCAUGGUGGUCCCCACCCAGCCGGCCAGGCGCCUCCAGCCUCGGAAAUCCAGCUUUCCGGGGGACGGGGACGAGGCUCCCGGCCCGGGCGGGGGCGAGGGGGCAGCGGCUGGCGGUGGCGGCGGGGGUCUCGGCAGCGGGGGGCGCUCGGCUCAGCGGCGCGCAGGGGCCGGAGCGCGGCGUCCCAUCGGGGCGGCCCCGUCCGUGGGACCGGGCGGCGAGCUGCAGGGUUGGGGGAGGAAGUCAGGCUGCAGGCCGCCGGGGCCAGAGGGCUGGGCCGGGGGCAGGAAGCUGCGGCGCUGGCUCCCCCCUCGGCGAUUUUCGAACUUCUGCUGUCGCUCCCCGUGCGCGCAAACCGCAGUUCGCCGCCGCCGCCGCCGGGCACCCAGCCCCAGGGGGGCGGGCUGGAGGGAGGGGGCGGGCGCUGGCCGGGGGACCCCCGCAACCAUGGCGGGCGGGGAGUGGGCUGCCGAGCCGCUUCACCUGCCGCAGAGGGGGCGGCCGGCGCCGCUUCACCUGCCGGAGCGGGAGGCCACCGAGGCGAGGCCGAGGCGGCGGCGCGCUCGGCGGCGCCUCCGGGUCCUAGAACCGCAUCCUCCCGCUCGCCUCGGGCGAGGGAUUGGCCGGGUCUGGGUGAAGGGGAUCACGGCCUGGGGAUUGGAGGGGCACAUCUUCUCCGCACCGAGGAUCUCAGCGACUGCGAGCACGGCUCGGAGACCCACGGUGGUGCAGCGUUGGGGCGCCAGGGCUGCGUUCCCGUCUCGCGUCCCGGACUGAGAAGGUGGGAACCCCCUUCCAGGCCCCCCACCUUUUAUUUCUCUCCUCCCCUGCUUAGCCCAGAGACGAGCUGAGGACGAGGGGGAGCCAUCUCCAAACAGGAACUCCUAAACAGGGUGGGGGGCGCGGACGCAGGCCAGUGGAGACCCCCGCCACCUGUCCCACCUCGACCAACCGUGCGCCUGUGCAGGGCACCCCUACAGGUUUUAGAAUGGGGGCACCUAUGGAAUAUGGCAGGCUGCGAGAAGCUGGGCCCGCCAAGGUGGUCCCAAGGAGGAGUGGGGGGUUGCGGAAAGGAGGAUGAGAGCCAGCCACAAGGCUGGAAAAGGAGUGGGCACCGCAGAGGAGGGAAAAAGAAUCUUGACACUGUCACCGCCAGGGAUCUAGGGGGGCCUCUUACCUUGGAGAAUAACAAUCUCUGAUGUCUGCUAAUUACAGAAAUACUUUCAGAGCUCUUUCAUUCAUCCUGACAAUGGCCAGAGAAGGUAGGUAUUGGUAGCCUUAUUUUAGAGAUGGGGAAACUGAGGCUGAGAGUAGGUAAGUAAGCUGUCCAAGGGCACUCAGCUAACAAAGGACAGAAGCAAGCCUCCUCACUGUCUACCUCCAAAACCUACACUGGCUUGGAGUUGCUGUCCUGGCCCUCCACUGCCCAUCUCAUGUAGGACGGGAGAGUAUGGGGGGCUGGGGUCCCAUCUAUAGCCUGAAUUUGAGACUUUCAGUUGCUCCUCUCAUUCCCCAUUUAAUUUGUGGGGAUCCCCAACUGACCCCUCCCUACACUUCCAGGGCACUGAGGAGGGAGGGCCCGCUGAAGGAGCCCCGAAUUAUCUCUAGGCCAGGUCAGGAGCCAUUAGUGUCCCCUCCCCUGACAGCAUCCUCCUCCUUCUGCCCUCACAUUCAGAGCCACUGACAAGACUUUAAGCAAGAGACGGAGAGUUAACAUCUAAUCUGGAGGAAGACCCUGGAAGGAGCCAGCCCCUUCCCCCAGGCUGACCUGGUUUAAGCCUUUCUUCUGCCAAGGUCACCAGCACCCCAGAUGGGUGAGAGAUGUGAUCACUGGUUUCGUGGCCUGACCAAGGACCUCCAAGGAGGUAUCUUUCCCAUCUUGGCCCACAGAGGAGGAAAUCCUAGAAGGGAUGACUGAAGCUUGGGACUAACACAUUGGUGGAUCUGUGCUACCCCCUGCUGGCCGUAGACGGUAUGACAGCCAAGAUAGGGCAAGGCUUCGAGGGGCGAUGGAUGGAUUCACCGCAGCGGCGACAUUUCUGGACUGUUGUCACCUUCAGUGCAGUCACUGGGAAUAUUCAGAACCCAGGUGAUUGAUAAGGUUUUCCCAGGGAUCUCUUCUCUCCCCUUCACCAUUACUCAGUAGGAGCUUCCUUAAAAACGGAAAACGAGAGGCCGGGCGCGGUGGCUCACGCCUGUAAUCCCAGCACUUUGGGAGGCGGAGGCGGGCGGAUCACGAGGUCAGGAGAUCGAGACCAUCCUGGCUAACACAACCCCGUCUCUACUUAAAAUACAAAAAAUUAGCCGGGCGUGGUGGCACGCGCCUGUAGUUCCAGCUACUCAGGAGGCUGAGGCAGGAGAAUCGCUUGAACCCGGGAGGCAGAGGAGGUUGCAGUGAGCUGAGAUGGCGCCACUGCACUCCAGCCUGGCCGACUGAGACUCCAUCUCAAAAAAAAAAAAAAAAAAAGGAAAAAGGGGCCGGGCGCGGUGGCUCACGUCUAUAAUCCUAGCACUUUGGGAGACCAAGGCGGGCAGAUCACGAGGUCAGGAAUUUGAGACUAGUGUGGCCAACAUGGUGAAACCCCAUCUCUACUAAAAAUACAAAAAAUUAGCCGGGUGUGGUGGCGCAUGCCUGUAAUCCUAGCUACUCGGGAGGCCGAGGCAGGAGAAUCGCUUGAACCCAGGAGGCCGAGGUUGCAGUGAGCCGAGAUCACGCCAUUGCACUCCAGCCUGGGCGACAGAGCAAGACUCCGUCUUGAGGGAAAAAAAAAAAAAAAAGAAAAAGGGGCCAGGCACCUGUAAUCCCAGCACUUUGGGAGGCUGAGGAGGGAAGAUCGCUAAAACCCAGGAGUUCAAGACCAGCCUGGGCAACAUGGUGAGACCCCAUCUCUACAAAAAAUGCAAAAAAAAAAAAAACAAAAACAAAAAAAAAAACAGCUGGGCAUGAUGGUGCGCACCUGUAGUCCCAGCUACUCGGGAGGCUGAGGUGGGAGGAUUAUUUGAGCCUGAGAGGUCAAGGCUGCAGUGAGCCAAGAUCGCAUCACUGCACUCUAGCCUGGGUAACAGAGCAAGACCCUGCCUCAAAAAAAAAAAAAAAAAAGGAAAAAGGUUAUUACACAGUUCAAAAGAGAAACAAAGUGCAAAAGCAUGUGCAAAGAAAGUAAAGUCCCUCCUGGCCAAGUGCGAUGGCUCAAGCCUGUAAUCUCAACACCCUGGGAGGCUGAAGUGGGUAGAUCAUUUGAGGUCUGGAGUUUGAGACCAGCCUGGCCAACAUGGUGAAACCCCGUCUCUACUAAAAAUAUAAAAAUUAGCUUGGCGUAGUGGCGGGUGCCUGUAAUCCCAGGUACUCGGGAGGCUGAGGCAGGAGAAUCACUUGAACUUGGGAGGCGGAGGGUGCCGCGAGCCAAGAUCACGCCAGUGCACUCUAGCCUGGGCAACAGAGCAAGACUCCAUCUCGAAGGAAGGAAGGAAGGAAGGAAGGAAGGAAGGAAGGAAGGAAGGAAGGAAGGAAGGAAGGGGAAAGAAAGGAAAGAUCUCUUGCCAAUCAGCCUCCCUGUUGCCCUGUUUCCCAUUCCCUCCCCAGAGGCAACCACUCUUAACAGUUUUUUUGUUUUUGUUUUUGUUUUUUUUUAGACAGAGUCUCACUCUGUUGCCCAGGCGGCUGGAGUGCAGUGGUGUGAUCUCAGCUCACUGCGACCUCCGCUUCCCAGAUUCAAGCAAUUCUCCUGCCUCAGCCUCCUGAGUAGCUGGGACUACAGGUGUGUGCCACCACGUUCAGCUAAUUUUUGUAUUUUUAGUAGAGACGGGGUUUCACCAUGUUGGCCAGGCUGGUCUUGAACUCCUGACCUCAAGUGAUCCACCCGCCUUGGCCUCCCAAAGUGCUGGGAUUACAGGUGUGAGCCACCGCGCCUGGCCUCUUAACAGUUCUAAUGUAUCUUUGCAGAGCUAUUUGGAGCAUAUGCUGUGUAUAUGUGCGUGUGUGUGUGACACAAAUGAUAGCACACGCUCUACACUGUUCAGCACCUGCUAUUUUCAUGUCAUAAUAUACCUGCCUGUAGAUAGUCAACAUAGUUUUCCAUCGUAUGGUGUGUCACAAUUUAUUUACCAUUCCCCUCCUAGUGGAUAUUUAUGUAUGUCCGCCUUUUAUUACUACAAACAAUGCUAAUUACAGGAAAUAUCUUGGUACAUAUAUUUGCAGACAUAUGUGUGUGUGUGAAAUAAAUUUAUAAGUAUGGCAAUUCUGGGUCAAAGAUUAUGUGCUCUUAAAUGUUUUAUAGGUUUUCACAGAAUUGCCCUCCAAAAAUUUUGUACCAAUUUACAAUCCCCAACAACGGAUGAGAUCACCUGUUUCCCCAAAUCCUCACAAACAGGUUAAUAUCAGGCCUUUUGAUCUUAGGUGAUGACUCUUUAAAAGUCCUGCUCACAGAGCAGUUGAUGAUCUGUCUUUUUCUUUGGGCCGCGGGUUUCUCCAAGGAAGGGACUGUGUCUUUCUCAUACCUACAUCCCCAGUGAAGGACUUGACACCAUCCUUGGGAGUUACUCAAGAAGUGUCUGCUAAAUAUUGAGUGAAAGAAACAGAGCUGCAUUUUGGCAGGCUGGGAGGGAGAGGGUAAAAGGUUAGGUUUGAACAGGAGGCCUGCUUUUUUUUUUUUUUUUUGAGAUGGAGUCUCACUCUGUUGCCCAGGCUGGAGUGCAGUGGCGCGAUCUCAGCUCACUGCAACCUCCAAGGAGGACUGCUCUUUAGGGCCACUUUCUCUUCCAGACCCUGGUCAAGCCUCUGCCCCAAAUCCAAAAGCCUUCCUCUUGCAGGAGCCUCCCAGGUUGCAAGGUCUGAGGUUGAAGGCCCAGAACUCCCAGUGCAGCUUUCACCCAGCUCUGCUGCAUUCCAGGGAUGGGCCCCAUCAUCCCCAAGCUGCCUGAGAACUGGAAACAAACUAGGUGUCCAGCUUUAGGGGAUCAGUUAAACCACUGUCCUAUAGAACUUUCUGCAAUGAUGAAAAUGUUCUCUAUCUGCCCUGUCCAAUAUGGCAGCCACUGGCCACUCGUAGCUACCGAGUAUUCAAGCUGUAGCUAGUUCAACUAAGGAAAUAAAUAAAUGUUACUUAAUUUUAAUUAAUUUCCAUUUAAGUAGCCAUGUGUGGCUACAUAUUGGACAGUGAAGGGUUCAGUAAAUUAUGAUAUAGCCCCACAAUGGAAAACUAUGCAGCUGUAAAAAAAAAAAAUAAUAAGGAUGCCAAGAAAAAUGGAAAGAUCUUCAGGAUAUAUUUUGAAACAAAAAUGUGGUACAGGCUGUGUGCAGUGGCUCACGCCAAUAAUCCCAGCACUUUGGGAGGCCAAGGUGAGAGGCCGAGGCAGGAGGAUCACUUGAGUCCAGGGGUUCAAGACCAGCCUGGUCAACAUAAUGAGACUUCCGUCUCUACAGAAAGUGAAAAAAAAAAAAAAGACAGCAUGGUGGUAUAUGAAUGUAGUCCCAUCUACUCAGGAAGCUGAGGUGGGAGGAUUGCUUGAGCCAGGGAAGUUGAGGCUGCAGUAAGCUGUGAUUGUGCCACCACACUCCAGCCUGUGUGACAGAGCAAGACCCCAUCUAAAAAAAAAAAAAAAGGCCAGGCACGAUGGCUCACACAUGUAAUCCCAGCACUUUGGGAGGCCGAGGACCGUGGAUCACCUGAGGUUGGGAGCUCAAGACCAGCCUGACCAACAUAGAGAAACCUCAUCUCUACUAAAAACACAAAAUUAGCUGGGUGUGGUGGCACAUGCCUAUAAUCCCAGCUACUCAGAAGACUGAGGCAGAAGAACCACUUGAACCCAGGAGGCGGAGGUUGCGGUGAGCCAAGAUAGUGCCAUUGCACUUCAGCCUGGGUAACAAGAGCGAAACUCUGUCUCAAAAAAAAAAAUGUGGUUCAGAACAGUAUACAUAGUAUGUCAUCUUUUUUGAAAGAAAGGCAGGUAGGCCGGGCGCAGUGGCUCACACCUGUAAUCCCAGCACUUUGGGAGGCCGAGGUGGGCGGAUCACGAGGUCAGGAGAUUGAGACCAUCCUGGCUAACGCGGUGAAACCCUGUCUCUACUAAAAAUACAAAAAAUUAGCCGGGCGUAGGUGGUGCACUCCUGUAGUCCCAGCUACUCGGGAGGCUGAGGCAGGAGAAUGGCGUAAAACCCGGGAGGCUGAGCUUGCAGUGAGCCAAGAUCGCGCCACUGUACUUCAGCCUGGGAGACAGAGCGAGAUUCCGUCUCAAAAAAUAAAAAAAAAAGAAAAAGAAAGGCAGGUAGAGGAGGCUGGAUGUGGUGGCUCAUGCCUGUAAUACCAGCACUUUGGGAGGCCAAGGGGGACAGAUCACUUGCAGAAAUGUGAGACCGGCCUGGACAACAUGGUGAAACCCCAUCUCUACACAAAAUACAAAAAUUAGUUGGACGUGGUAGUGCGCACCUGUAGUCCCAGCUACUCAGGAGGCUAAAGUGGGAGGGUUGCUUGAGCUGGGGAAGUCAAGGCUGCAGUGAGCCAAGAUUGCACCACUGCACUCCAGCAGGGGUGACAGAGGGAGACAGCAGGAGUGACAGAGUGAGACCCUGUCUCAAAAAAAAAAAGAAAAGAGCUUUGCACAGUGGUAGUAUCGUAGCCAAUGAAUGAAAGGGAGGUGGAAAUAAAAAUAAAUGUUUAUAUUUGCUUGAAUUUGCAUAGGGAAAGCAAUAACAGUGGGUGACCUAUAGGGAGCUGGGGAAUCCUGUUGCGGGGGUAGGCAAGGACAGGGUGGGAACAGAGCUUUCCAGUGAAUUUCUUUAUAUUUCAUUUUGGUUGUUGAAACAUGUACAUAUAUUACCUAUUCAAAAAGUUAAAUUAAGGUCAGGUGCAGUGGCUCAUGCCCGUAAUCCCAGUACUUUGGGAGGUUGAGGUAGGAGGAUCACUUUACCCCAGGAGUUGGAGACCAGCCUGGGCAAUAUAGUGAGACCUCCUUUCUACAAAAAGUUUACAAAUUAGCCAUAAGCCAGGUGCGGUGGCUCACACCUGUAAUCCCAGCACUUUGGGAGGCG